rnacentral:rRNA from 1 species
UACAGAGGUCUCAAGCGUUGUUCGGAAUCACUGGGCGUAAAGGGUGCGUAGGCGGCGCGGUAAGUCGGGUGUGAAAUUUCGAGGCUUAACUUCGAAACUGCAUUCGAUACUGCCGUGCUUGAGGACUGGAGAGGAGACUGGAAUUUACGGUGUAGCGGUGAAAUGCGUAGAUAUCGUAAGGAAGACCAGUGGCGAAGGCGGGUCUCUGGACAGUUCCUGACGCUGAGGCACGAAGGCCAGGGGAGCAAACGGG